GCAAUUUAAGUAAAACAAGAUGAAGCAGGAACCGACUCUCACCAUCCCCACUCCCACCUCCAUGAAUUCCAUCGGACAGUUGUGCGAAAGCGGGCUGGCUUUCGCACAACCAUUGGUGGACUGUCUGUCCUGUAAGCCCCCCAGGGGCUGAUGCCCUCCCAGUCUGCCUGCCCUGUUCUUAGCACAGCCCCUGGCACCCCGUGUGAUCUCAGGAAACACUUGCUAAACAUGGUAUCGGAGGAGAAACGGAGCCCACAGCUUAGUGCAAAGACCUGGCGGCGUGGACUGAGGCUGCAGAAACGCAGAAACGCGCUUUUCCUGCCAGAAGGGGACAUCUGCGUGGUCGGGAGUACCUCUGGGGCACGUGCCCUAAUUCCAGAAACAUCUAAGCUGGAGCGCAGUGGCACUGUAAUAGCUUACUGCAACCUUGAACUCCUGGCUUCAAGUGAUCCUCCCGUCUGGGCCUCCCAAAGCACUGGGAUGACAGGUAUGAGCUACCGCUCUCAGCCACAACUGGGUUUUAAGAGCACUCCUCCAGCCCACUCCAGUGUCUUCCAUCAUUCUGUGAAAGCACCAAAAGAGGACCAAGCCCAGGAAGCCGCCAGCAGGCCUCUCACCAGCCAAGAUGGCUGGAAUCCUAAUAUCAAGAAAUGAAACUCCAGCAGGCCAUGGAAAUGCUAAGGGGUUGGCAUUUCUGCUCUAGAGAGAGCCAAAGAGAAAGCUCUAUUUAUAUCUCCUUGCGUUUGGUCGCAGCCUCAUCAACCAAAAGAACCUUCCGCCCCACUCAACACAUCAAUCAAAUUGGGGAGGGGGUGUGAACAGCAGCAGCGGGUGUUACAGAGGAGUCUCAAGGGUAUCUUAGAGGGUGCCUCUCUGAACAGUCGUCCCCUCCAAAUCCCCCCCAAGAGAAUUACUAGGACAUUCUCCUUCCCCCGCAAGCAACGGCACCCCCAGAUGAUUAAACGCGCUGGCGUCGGAAAGAGCUGGGAUCCUGGAGAAACUACUUGUAAACUGUGUGGGUUGGUGAGUUAUUUAACUUUUCUGAGCCUUCGUUUCCUUAACUGUAAAAUGAAGACAACACCACUCAGCUCCUACAGUUGUCCAGCUGAAAUCACCUAGGUAAGAACGACCAGUUCUUUGGGGAGUAAUGUCCCGAUGGUACCAUUCAAUUGUCAAGAACACCAAGGCACCGUCAGGCACCCGGGCGGUAUCCCACUCUCCUGGAAGAGAGCAGGGGGUUAGCCCUUGGUUUCAAAGUCCCUAGGGAGCAGUAAACCUUCCCCUCCGAGAGCCCUGAGAGAGGAAUAAUUGCCCCUUCCCACUCCAACCCACGGCACACCCGCCCACAUCCACGUGCGGCUGUGCCCAGCAUCUCAGAGGUAGGACUUCUCAGGAAUCGGCGGGAAGAAGCCCCCUUGAUGGAGUCUGGUGGGGUUCAAGAUCUGCAGGUCCCACCUUCCAGGGAACACCUGCACAAGUGAGACCUGCCCGAUCAGCCCCGCGCUCCAUCCGCAAACUGGGCAGAUCCCAAGGGUGCCACGCGAGGACCCUGCACCUUGGCCGCUCCAGGGCGCCCCCCACCCGCGACCCCGGAAAUCUCGCCCCUACCUGCUUCACCCUCGCCCCACCCACAGCGCACUUUUCGGGACCUCCCAGCGGCCCUUCCCCGGUUCUCUGGACCCCCGUCUCCCCGCCCUGCAACGCCCCCAUCCUGGUGCCCACGAAAGGUCGUCCCAGUUCCCCUCUUCUCUACCUCAAAGGAGGAGGUGCAAAUGAGGAAGCCUAAAUAAAAACAGGAAACUCGAUUUUUUUAAAAAGCCUCAAAAAAAAAAAAAAAAAA
rnacentral:lncRNA from 1 species